rnacentral:lncRNA from 1 species
AGGGGCUUAUUGUCCACCCAUCACUCUCUUUGCAGUAAUAGGAGCCUCUCUGAAAGUAAAAAUUCAAGGUGUAGUAGAUCAGAGAGGAAGAUCAGAACACGAGGUUUUUCUACCAGUCCACCAUCAUCCAGUGGCAUAGGAACUGGAUCAGGACGAUUACGAGUACUAUGGGAUAAUGGCUGACCACAGAUGAUGAGAUCAGAUGGAGGUUGUUCAGCUCUUCAGGUCCUGAUGGACGAUGUCUCUAGGAGGGGACUGGACCGCUCUCCCCCCUUCCA